CCCAUGACAGGCCACCACGCCCUGUAGACAGCAAGUCAAGUACAAAGUCUACAUGACCAUGUGUUGGGGUGAGGUGUCUGGAUACUCUAGGGCCCAUGACAGGCCACCGUGUCCGGUAGACAUUCCAAGACAUGUUCUCAAUGACCUUAUGUCGGUUGUAAGUCCAAUGUGAUGGCAGGUUUUUAUUGUACAAGUCUGGACAACCAGGGAAUUACUUCAGAAUUGUUUCAGAACUAUUUGAUUCUGAACUACCAACAUCUACAGAAUAUACAUAAAAGUCAAUCAAAUCA